rnacentral:rRNA from 1 species
GGCUGUUAAACUCUAAUAUGNAAUUGUACGUGGGGCCUGCACAAAGCUGGUUGGAGCAUGUGGUGUUGUAAUUCGAUAGCAAUCGCUGCAGAUACCUUACCAGCGUUUGUUACAUGUCCGCGUACUGAUUUCCAGUAGUAUGGAUUUCUUCCCUUCGGGGAUCUGGUAACACAUGGUUCUGCAUGGCUGUUCGUCAGCUCGUGUCGUUAGUAUUGUUGGGUUAAUUCCUCUGCAAACGAGCUGCAACCCUCAGUCCAUGUUAGUUACCAUUCAUUCAUGUUUGUGGUACUUCUUAUAUGGAUACCGCUCGGUGUAUAAGCCGGAUGGAAGGUGGGGAUGACGUCAAGUCCUCAUGGCCACUUACGCGCUGGGCUACACACUGUGCGUACAAUUGGCGAUCUUACAGUGGGCAGCAAUCCCUGUCGUAGGGUGAUUCUAAUCUCUCUUGAUAUGUCUGUCUCAAGUUCUGGUUGCACUCUGCAA